rnacentral:rRNA from 1 species
AACGAACGCUGGCGGCAUGCCUAACACAUGCAAGUCGAACGAGACCUUCGGGCCUAGUGGCGCACGGGUGCGUAACGCGGGGGAACCUGCCCUUAGGUUCGGAAUAAAUCCCCGAAAGGGGUCCUAAUACCGGAUAAUGUCCUCCGUCCAUAGAUUUAUCGCCUUUGGAUGGGCUUGCGUUGGAUUAGCUAGUUGGUAGCGUAAAAGCCUACCAAGGCGUCGUUGCAUAGCUGGUUUGAGAGGCUGAUCCGCCACACUGGGACUGAGACACGGCCCAGACUCCUACGCGAGGGAGCAGUGGGGAAUACUGGACGAUGGGCGGAGGCCUGAUAAAGCAAUGCCGGGUGAGUGAUGAAGGCCUUAGGGUUGUAAAGCUCUUUUACCCGGGAUGAUAAUGACGGUACCGGGAGAAUAAGCACCGGCUAACUCCGUG